CGAAGCCACGUAAUUCGUUAAAACAGUGUUGAUGCAAUUAAGCUGGAAUUCCAUGAACGAUCUUCCACGUUUAAAUACAAUUGAAUCCGCGAGUAUUCCGAUGACGCUGAUUCGAGAUUGAACAAUCGUAUCUCUUUAGAAUCAGACAGAACGUUCAAAUGGUUUCCAUGAAAAAACGCGGUGAAGAAGGAUGUAAGCGGCAUCAAAGUUGACGACAAGAAGGGACAAGCAAAGAUUCGAGAACACGAAAGACGUUCGCCUCCAGCACCCCCGAUUCAAUCUAGACCAGAACGAAGGGUGGAUUCGAGAAGGACCACGCGUCCUCUGUUGCUUUGUGUUCGUGUGUCGAAGGGCGGGAACGUGUCCGGAGUCGUGGAAACGCGAAAAGAAAGAACGUCGAGCAAAAAGACUGGGGAAAGAAGAAAGAACGAAGGUCUGCGGAAAGAGACGGUGAAAUGUAAGAAAUAAAAAGGAGUAAGAUGAGUGGAUGGAAGAAGAAGUUCUCGAGUAAGAAACGUUUUAUGGUAGAAGCUGAUGGCGAAAUACGUGGAUGGACGAGUGAAGUGUUCUCCGCAUGACACACUCUUACACCUAUCGACUGUUCACAUCCGGCAACGAGUUGGUCUUUGGACAUUGGUUAAGCGUGGAACUUCGGUCUGUGAUUUUCUAUUUUUUAACAAUAAUGAAACUCGGACUUAAAAUUUUUCUUAUCACCUAGGGUAAUUCAGAAAUUACUAGAUAUCAGGUUCGUCUAUAGGUACCAAGAAUCCCUUCGGAAGAUCGGCGACGCAAGGUCUUCACCGCAAACCCUUACGCUAGUAAAAAUUGUCUCGAUUGCCCCCGUGAUUUCCAUUGCAUUUAUCGAACUGAAGCUGAUAAUAAUUGUUGACUCGAAUUGCUCUACUUAAAAUAAUCAAAUGCAGGGCAAACGAUCGUUGGUUUCUUGCUCGAAAGCCAAGCAUUAGGAAGAUGUUGGCAGUGCUUAAUGAGAAAUUGAUUAAACCAAGUGGUCAUUUCCCUUUGCUGUUACAGACGAAACGUUCGCCAUGCAAAUUGAACGUAUCCCUUUGAAUUUCAUUAUUUUUCUUGCAAUUGUAAACGCGAUACAUCGUUUACAACCUAAGCGAGGACGUUUUAGGGAAGACUAAAAAUGAUAAACGUUGAAAUGCAAUUCUUUCUUUGGCAAUGUUUCUAAAUGAAACGGAAGGGAAAAAAGCGCCACUCAUCCGGUUGUGAAUUCCGUUUCAUUAAGGCCAGAUGUAGACCAGUCGCGAUUUCAUUCACAAGUAGGCGUUUACGGCCACCAGCCGCGCAUCUUUCCCUCCUGACCGCUUGAAACUUCGACAAAGUCAAGUUCACGCUCCACCAGCAAUAAAAACCGAGUCCUCGACCGACCACCGGAUGUCCUGUGCGAUAAAUCUUCCCAGUACCGAGGCGAGGGGGAAAAUCAACGGGCAACUUUAAUCUUUAAUAUCUUUAUAUAUUUGCGUGAAUAACGAUAAAAAUAAAGGACCAUCAACGAUUUUGCUAGAAAAUCUUUAGAAACGUGAAAGUUCUGCAGAUUCUAUAACUCAUGCCCUUUUGUCCAAAAGCUACUCGUUCGAGAUUCUGAAUUGAUUAAACAAAUUAUUACAAUGGGCUGACGACGCGACAGGCUAUUGCCCCGGUUCCUUUUUCCACAGAAUGGAGAGGAAAGCUCGUGCUGCCGGUUCAUAAAUUCCUUCGCGUGUUUUUUAUUCGUUCGAACGCCUAAACAGAAAACGCCGUUUGCAUGAUAAAGCCAGCAGACUCGCGACGCCGAACGUUGCCUACUGCAAAUCUGAAAUUCAUGCUCGCCUCGAUCGAUACGGAUAACAUCGCGAAAUUGAAAAUUACACUUUCCACUCUCCCCCUUUCUAUCCUCUAUCAAACGCGUUUAUCAAAAAAAGAACAGCACCGUGGUAACUAGAUAAGAUAGGGUUAAGUGUUUCCAUUUCAAUCAGAAGAAUUGUCAACAAUUUGCAAUCGUAAAAAAGAACAAACUAUUUACCGCGUCAACCCUCGGACGACGGACCAUAGAGAGAGCCCCACUUUAAUUUAAUUUCAUAUUUGUAAGUUGUAUCGUAAAUUUGGAUCUCGAUUGAUCCAGACUUUACUGUUGAAGGGUUAAAAAUUUGUUUACUACCACCUAGGAGAUUCACUGAAAUAAACACAGGAAGUUAUCUCUACCCUGCUCCAUCUGAUUCGUUCUUCUCCGUCCUCCCAUUUAUGCAUAUAUGUACAUAUAUACACUAUAUGUCAUGCAUAUAUGCAUGAUUCGAGUACACACACGACCACGUAGCACGUGCGUACAUCCUCGACCCCCGUGGACGACGUCGGCUUACAAAUCGCCAAACUUCUUAGGAAACAGAGAGAGAGAGAGAGAGAGAGGGAGUUCAAAAGGGUCGAAGUAAAGCGUUGAUAGAACGAAGAAAGAUGGAAAAGGGAAAAAGGAACAGGCACUUGUUGUGCUGAUCGAACAUCCUGCGAAUCCGUCCAAACACGUCCAACGAAUUUCCUUUCUGAAUUGCGCGAUGUGUCCAGACACACGUUCAACACUAAACCGAAGAGACGAUAAAAACUGCUGAUCAGCGUUUUAUCAUAUUAUCAAAUUUCGAUUUGAUUCGAAAUCUAAUUUGAGACUUGUAACGCAGUGAUUCUAUUCGUAACGAGUACAGAGUCAAAGGGCACAAUAGGACCGCGAUUAAUUGUAUUGAACGGCAUUGGGACGACCAUGCCGCAGUUAUUUUAUUAAUAUCGAAUCGUAUUUCGAAAUCGAACGGUUCGCAAUAACCAUCCAUCCAAUUUGCGCGUGAUCCCAGAAAUGGACGCAAGGUGACUCUUUAUUAAAUCAAUUGCAAACGGUAGAACGGCCGGAAGGGGUAGGCUAAUUACGAAAAUAUUUGAUCUCUGCGGAAAAUCAUAUCCCAUUGCGUGUUAGCCGGAUAAAUCAUUUGAAAUUCUACCGUUUAACCCUCGUUUCGUUUCGUUUCAUUUUGUUUCGACAGAUUUACGACUGGAUAUUCGAUCAUUUUUUUUUUCUAUUUGAACAAAAAUUCUUCGAAGGGAAGGUAUAGAAAUUCAUCGAACCAUCUGACAAUCAUGGUUUCUCCGACAAUGGUAAAAGUGUGAUCUAGUUGUUGGUUAACAUUUUUUUUACUUCCCCUUCGACGAAGCAACUCGACCCUCGAACGAAGGAAAAUGUCGAAGCGGUUGGGUCGCGUGUAACCGUGUCACGUCGCGAUAGACGCGGUGCAUGGGGAGAAGAUGAAUUACCCUGCUGUCCUUUUACGUCACCGUUGACAAUCAAGCGUUAGUAAAAAAUGGUCUAUCUUUGCGGAGGACACUUGCCGAGUGCGUAGAUAAUUGAUGAGUCGUAUAGAGAAGCUGUCGACGAGAGUGAAAGCACGAAACUGUGUACCAAUGCCGAACGAUUUAAACGUUUACAUUAGAAAGUUUACCCGGGGUUAUUUAGAAAGUCCGAGGAAUUGUUUCCAACACGCCUACUCGUCUAGAUUUAUGCAAUAAUUCUUUCGAGCUAAUCGUUAAUUGCCAACCACCUGCGUUUAUCGAUUAGUCAGCCGAUCAAUUAGAAAAAGAAAGGAACACCAUUAGAGGGUAGAUUGUCAUCCGUCUAUUUCGGGGUGGCGACAAUAGACGUCGAAACAAAGAAGGAUUACGAAAAGGACGAUAACUCGUGAGGCUAAUUCGUUACCUAAACGGCCACGUAACGCGAUAAUGUGGCUAAGACGGAAGAGCACAAUGUUUACGAGUAUUUUUUUCUACGUGUCUCACGAUCCAUCCAGUCUCAGAGCAGCGGCAAGUUAAUGGAAAUGCCAGGAGCAUGGCAGCGCAUACUAAAACGACCUGACCUCUUCCUCCCCUUCCAUCUCCUCCCUCGUCGAUGACUUUUCGACUUUUCCUCGCGUUUCUCCGCUUCCUGGCGACGCAGACGAUGCCCUUCUCAUAACUUCGUUCGCCGCGAACCCAUAAAUUUGCCGCGACAACGCAUAAAUCAGGCGUGCGUGCCCGAACGUACGCAGCCAGGUAGGCGACUCUUGGAGAAGCGAUCAGCAUUCCAACCUCGAACAGAGCUUCGAUAUAGCAGCCGGUACAGGGUAAACACGAUCAGCCAGCAUACGACGGCUGUACAAAUUGUUUCAAAAACAAUGCGUUUAAGGCAUCGAAGAUAUGCAGCUUCAGGAUUGCACAUAUCUUUUGGAACGUCCUGUACAAGCUUCUCGUUCUUCCAGGACGACGAGAUGGAAGGAGCACGCGAAUAUCCUGUUACGGUGUUCGACCGUGUUCGAUGAAGCUUCGACCGAAGUCUAUUUAUCACGAACGCGGCGAAAUUACGCGCGACGAGAUACAUACAGGGUGUACAUCGUAAUCUUCAUUUUUUAAACAAAAUUAGACAAGCUUUGUUGAAAGUAGACAAGUAAUUAGUGCACCCUCUUCGUUUUUUGUUGGUCAACAUUUUCCUUGCUACAAGG